UACGGGGGGGGGCAAGCGUUGUUCGGAAUUACUGGGCGUAAAGAGCUCGUAGGCGGCUUGUUGCGUCGUCCGUGAAAACCUGGGGCCCAACUCCAGGCUUGCGGUCGAUACGGGCAGGCUAGAGUUCGGUAGGGGGAGACUGGAAUUCCUGGUGUAGCGGUGAAAUGCGCAGAUAUCAGGAGGAACACCGGUGGCGAAGGCGGGUCUCUGGGCCGAUACUGACGCUGGAGGAGCGAAAGCGUGGGGAGCGAACAGGAUUAGAACCUACGUAGUCAGAUCCAAGCCAGUCCUGCGAC
rnacentral:rRNA from 1 species